rnacentral:rRNA from 1 species
GGGGAACCUGCGGAAGGAUCAUUAUCGAAUAAACUUGAACAGGCUGUUGCUGGUCUCUUGGGACAUUGUGCACGCUUGUCAUCUUUAUCAUUUCUCCAACUGUGCACGUAUUUUGUAGACCUUGGAGGGGGGAAUGGAAUUCAUUCCGAGUGGGGACUGCUGUGCCUUCAAAAAAAAGAGGUCGGCUUUCCCUUUGAAAGGUCUAUGUCAUUUUUUUCACAACCAAUAUGUCUAGAAUGUUGAAAUACAUAAAAGUUAUAAAAAACAACUUUCAGCAACGGAUCUCUUGGCUCUCGCAUCGAUGAAGAACGCAGCGAAAUGCGAUAAGUAAUGUGAAUUGCAGAAUUCAGUGAAUCAUCGAAUCUUUGAACGCAUCUUGCGCUCCUUGGUAUUCCGAGGAGCAUGCCUGUUUGAGUGUCAUUUUGAACUCUCAAAGCCCCACAUCUUGAUGUGGCUUUGGACUUGGGGGCUUUUGCAGGCUUUUUAAUAAAAGGCCUGCUCUCCUGAAAUUCAUUAGUGGUACCUGGAGCGGAAACCGCUAGGUGUUGAUAACAUUCAUCUAUGCCUUUGGUAUGCCGCACAAAUGGGCUGCUUCGAAACUGCACAUGCUCUKGACAAACUUGACCUCAAAUCAGGKAGGACUMCCCGCUGAACUUAAAGCAUAUCAAUAGGGG